CCUACGGGAGGCAGCAGUGAGGAAUAUUGGUCAAUGGACGAGAGUCUGAACCAGCCAAGUAGCGUGAAGGAUGACUGCCCUAUGGGUUGUAAACUUCUUUUAUAAAGGAAUAAAACGAGGCACGUGUGCCUUUUUGCAUGUAUUUUAUGAAUAAGGAUCGGCUAACUCCGUGCCAGCAGCCGCGGUAAUACGGAGGAUCCGAGUGUUAUCCGGAUUUAUUGGGUUUAAAGGGAGCGUAGAUGGGUUGUUAAGUCAGUUUUGAAAGUUUGCGGCGCAACCGUAAAAUUGAAAUUGAUACUGGCAGUCUUGAGUACAGUUGAGGUAGGCGGAAUUCGUGGUGUAGCGGUGAAAUGCUUAGAUAUCACGAAGAACCCCGAUUGCGAAGGCAGCUUACUAAACUGUGACUGACAUUGAUGCUCGAAAGUGUGGGUAUCAAACAGGAUUAGAUACCCCAGUAGUC
rnacentral:rRNA from 1 species